UACGUAGGGUGCGAGCGUUGUCCGGAAUUACUGGGCGUAAAGAGCUCGUAGGUGGUUUGUCGCGUUGUUCGUGAAAUCUCACGGCUUAACUGUGAGCGUGCGGGCGAUACGGGCAGACUAGAGUACUGCAGGGGAGACUGGAAUUCCUGGUGUAGCGGUGAAAUGCGCAGAUAUCAGGAGGAACACCGGUGGCGAAGGCGGGUCUCUGGGCCAAAAACUGACGCUGAGGAGCGAAAGCGUGGGGAGCGAACAGG
rnacentral:rRNA from 1 species